UGCCAUAGAAACCCAUCAUUGACGCGGGCCCGCCGCUCCCGGCCGUGGAUUUGUAUAUACGGUUACUUAGCAACUGUAAAUUGCUAUGGUGAGGAAGGGGAAGUCUCAGGCGCGCUGCAGGGAUGUCCCUAAGAGAAUACAAAACAGUGCCUACGUCCCAGGCAGAACUGACGUUACUGGCAUCGAGACUGAAGCUUGGACCAAUGAAACUUCUGGGUUUGUAGACAGGUGAUGUUGGAGAAGUGUGGAUCCAAUAGGCCUGAGAGAUUCUUCCAGAGAUCUUCCUCUAGUUCCCCUGAAAUUGAUCUACUUAAAAAUGGAUGUACAUAAUGGACUUAAAGGGAAAUGUCAUCUCCAAAAUGGCCGCCGCCAGCUUUAAGGACAUUUCUCGAUGAGAAUGAACCUAUUCAUGAAUGUUCUAAAUGGAUGCCUGUCAACUAAUAUACAGGAAACGGAAGUACAGUAUGGGAGAUAUUAUCAUCUAAUUUUGAGUAUCCUGAAUUCGAAUAGAAAAUGAGGAGUGUAAAGGAGCACGGACCUCCGACUUCCGGAUCAGAAGUGACGCGGAAUCGGAAAUGACGUAACACCGGAAAUGACGCCAAACCGGAAGUGACGUGGCCAAAAGUGACACGGUCCCGCGGUAAACGGUGGGAAAGGCGGCAUUAGGAGAUUUCAAUAGGAACAGAAGUGGAUUAAAUGGACUGGAAUAUAUGUGGAAAAAGGAUAGGUUUAGAAUUGGAUAGUGAUUCCAUGUCUGGAAUUAGGACCUACAGUACUGUGAAUUAGAUAGACUGGGUAUAAAAAGCAGUCUAAGGCACUUCCUCCCCAUGCCUUGAGGAAGAUACUUUGAUAUCGAAACGCAUUGGUUGAGGACUGUUUUAUGAAGCUCUCUCGUGGUCAGACGGUAUAGUGCAUAUCCUGGGGACGCCUGUGAUACUGUUAAAAACCUAUGUGCAUUUGUCUACUUCUUUUGUUGGGUAGACCACAUGACCGGGUGAGAGUUCAUUUUAAAUACUGUUUUGCUUUCUGAAAUCUAUUAAAAAGAUUGUAUUACACCA